rnacentral:lncRNA from 10 species
GAGCACCGAGAGGUCGUGACACGACCUGGAGCGCUGCUUGAAGAACUUGGCGUUGCGCGGCACCAGGUUGGCGAGGAACCUCUUGGCUUUCUUGGUGAGGCUCUCGCGGCGUGCAGGUGGCGCAGGGCCCUCGGGGCUGCCCGGAUCGGGCCUCUGGCCUCCGGCGUGGUUUCGGCCCCGCCGCAGCCGGAUCUGGCGCACCGCGCCCUCGAAGAGCUCCCUCGUGUUGUGGUGCAGUGCGGCCGACGUCUCGAUGUGCUUGCAGCUCAGCGUCCCGGCCAGGUGGCGGCCCUCUGCAGGAAGGCACCGGCUCAGGCGCCCGCUGGGCUGUACGGGACCCGGGGCGAGGGUGGGUCUAGGGAGGGCCUGGGCGUGCGGUGGCAAGGGAUUGGUACUAGUGAAUCUUGCAACCGAGAGAACAUGGCUGAGCUCAUAUGGUGGGUCUGUGGAGGUGCGAAGGAGAGGGAGAAGGAGGCCUAGGAGAGAGGUGAGGGGAAGUGACAAGAAGGGAUUCUCAGGAUCCUCGAGUGGGGCAUUGGGAGUGUCCCCCUAGCCUGGGUCUGAUUGCAAGUGAGUGCGUCCGCGAUGGUAAAAAGGCCUUAGGGAGAAGAGGUGACUUGGAAGGGAGAGCAUUCCCCUGAGAUCGCAAGUAUGGAAUCUGUUCAGGAUACACACCCUCCAGUGAUACCUCCCGGGAGCGGGCCAAGUCGCUCUUGUUUCCAACGAGGAUAACGGGUAGGUCGUGGUGCGGCCUCCCAGCCCGGAGCCGAAGUAGGGUCUCUGGAACUUUGGAGAAACUCCGUCGGUCGGUGACUGAGAAGACGAUGAGAAAGGCGUCCCCGGUCUGAAGGCAGUGGUCCCGCAGCCACCCUCCUGCAUCCCCCUGCAGACAGGCAGAGGAACGUUAGGGCUGGAGGCAUAGGAGAUCCUGUCCAGCACCUACACCUCAAAGAGGAGGAACAGGGCUGUGAGGCAGAAAGAAGCCACCUGCUUAGGACAGCAGAGCUAGUUAAUGGCAGAAUCUCCCUACCCAGAGUGUUUGUGGAGGCGGAAGAAAUUAGUAAUAUGAGGAUCCUAGACUAGGGUAGCCAUCCUAAUUUCUUAAGCUCUUGAUUCAAAAAUGAAUAUUAUUCACACGUCUGUAAUUUGG